UAACAUCUCUUACCCUUGGGUUGUGGGCUGU
rnacentral:piRNA from 1 species